rnacentral:rRNA from 1 species
AACGACGCUGGCGGCAGCUACACAUGCAAGUCGAACGGGAUCUUCGGAUCUAGUGGCGGACGGGUGAGUAACGCGUGGGAACGUGCCCUUUGCUUCGGAAUAGCCCCGGGAAACUGGGAGUAAUACCGGAUACGCCCUUUGGGGGAAAGAUUUAUCGGCAAAGGAUCGGCCCGCGUUGGAUUAGGUAGUUGAGUGGGGUAAUGGCCUACCAAGCCGACGAUCCAUAGCUGGUUUGAGAGGAUGAUCAGCCACACUGGGACUGAGACACGGCACCAGACUCCUACAGGGAGGCACGCAGUGGGGAAUCUUAGACAAUGGGGGAAACCCUGAUCUAGCCAUGCCGCGUGAGCGAUGAACAGCCUUAGGGUUCGUACAAGCUCUGUCACAGAUGGGAAGAUAAUGACGGUACCAUCAGAAGAAGCCCCGGCUAACUCCGUGCCAGCAGCCGCGGUAAUACGGAGGUGGCUAGCGUUAUUCGGAAUUACUGGGCGUAAAGCGCACGUAGGCGGAUUAGAAAGUCAGAGGUGAACUCCCAGGGCUCAACCUUGGAACUGCCUUUGAAACUCCUAGUCUUGAGGUCGAGAGAGGUGAGUGGCUAGG